GAUGAACGCUGGCGGCGUGCCUAAUACAUGCAAGUCGAACGAAACUUCUUUAUCACCGAGUGCUUGCACUCACCGAUAAAGGGUUGAGUGGCGAACGGGUGAGUAACACGUGGGCAACCUGCCCAAAAGAGGGGGAUAACACCUGGAAACAGGUGCUAAUACCGCAUAACCAUAGUUACCGCAUGGUAACUAUGUAAAAGGUGGCUAUACUACCGCUGUUGGAUGGGCCCGCGGCGCAUUAGCUAGUUGGUAGGGUAAAGGCUUACCAAGGCAAUGAUGCGUAGCCGACUUGAGAGGUUGAUCGGCCACAUUGGGACUGAGACACGGCCCAAACUCCUACGGGAGGCAGCAGUAGGGAAUCUUCCACAAUGGGCGAAAGCCUGAUGGAGCAACGCCGCGUGGGUGAAGAAGGUCUUCGGAUCGUAAAACCCUGUUGUUAGAGAAGAAAGUGCGUGAGAGUAACUGUUCACGUUUCGACGGUAUCUAACCAGAAAGCCACGGCUAACUACGUG
rnacentral:rRNA from 1 species